AGAGCCGACAGAAUGGAUCUUGGAGGAGGGGGCCGUUGCCGGGCCUUCCGGGGAGCCACGUGUAGCCGUCCGCAACCUUCAGUCUCCUACCU
rfam:Camelus ferus unplaced genomic scaffold scaffold178, whole genome shotgun sequence.